GGGGCUUUAGCUCAGCUGGCUAGAGCGCUUCCAUGGCAUGGAAGAGGUCAGGGGUUCGAAUCCCCUAAGCUCCACCA
rnacentral:tRNA from 2 species